rnacentral:rRNA from 1 species
CCUACGGGUGGCUGCAGUGGGGAAUAUUGGACAAUGGGCGAAAGCCUGAUCCAGCCAUGCCGCGUGUGUGAAGAAGGCCUUCGGGUUGUAAAGCACUUUCAGUGGGGAAGAAAGCCUUGGGGCUAAUACCCUCGAGGAAGGACAUCACCCACAGAAGAAGCACCGGCUAACUCCGUGCCAGCAGCCGCGGUAAUACGGAGGGUGCGAGCGUUAAUCGGAAUUACUGGGCGUAAAGCGCGCGUAGGCGGUCUGAUAAGCCGGUUGUGAAAGCCCCGGGCGCACCCUGGGAACGGCAUCCGGAUCUGUCAGGCUAGAGUGCAGGAGAGGAAGGUAGAAUCACCGGUGUAGCAGUGAAAUGCGUAGAGAUCGGGAGGAAUACCAGUGGCGAAGGCGGCCUUCUGGACUGACACUGACGCUGAGGUGCGAAAGCGUGGGUAGCAAACAGGAUUAGAUACCCCGGUAGUC